rnacentral:rRNA from 1 species
CCUUAUUAGAUGACCCUAGGUCGGAUUAGCUAGUUGGUAGGGUAAAGGCCUACCAAGGCGACGAUCCGUAACUGGUCUGAGAGGAUGAUCAGUCACACUGGAACUGAGACACGGUCCAGACUCCUACGGGAGGCAGCAGUGGGGAAUAUUGGACAAUGGGCGAAAGCCUGAUCCAGCCAUGCCGCGUGUGUGAAGAAGGCCCUCGGGUCGUAAAGCACUUUAAGUUGGGAGGAAGGGCUUACAGCGAAUACCUGUGAGUUUUGACGUUACCGACAGAAUAAGCACCGGCUAACUUCGUGCCAGCAGCCGCGGUAAUACGAAGGGUGCAAGCGUUAAUCGGAAUUACUGGGCGUAAAGCGCGCGUAGGUGGCUUGAUAAGUUGGAUGUGAAAUCCCCGGGCUCAACCUGGGAACUGCAUCCAAAACUGUCUGGCUAGAGUGCGGUAGAGGGUAGUGGAAUUUCCAGUGUAGCGGUGAAAUGCGUAGAUAUUGGAAGGAACACCAGUGGCGAAGGCGACUACCUGGACUGACACUGACACUGAGGUGCGAAAGCGUGGGGAGCAAACAGGAUU